CUGGCCAGGUGCCAGGUGAGACGCAUGGGGCUUGCCCUUGAGAAGCCUGCUGAGGCUGCAGGUCGUCAGAGCACACUGUAGCCACGGCUGUGAGGUGCACUGAAGGCGUCUGAAACCAGGUCGCCCACAGGAUGUUGGAAGCCGCAGGGGCCUGGUGGUAAGCUUCUGCCAGUCUAGGCUGCCUUCCAAGGAGCAAGGGCUCCCAGUACAUCCAGAGCUGCUCGUCUGAGUCCAGGGUCUCCACAAGGAGCCAGUGAAGCCAGGGACAGGCCAGUCUGGCUGAAGACUAGAAGCACCAGCUGAUUUCUGACCUUUCUCCAUGGGGCCCAGCACACAGGACAGAGAGGGCUUCACAAGCUUAUCCUGUUAAAAUGCAGAUUCUAACUCAGUAGGUCUGGGCAAGCCCAAGCCUGUAUCCGUAACAAUCCCCAGGGUCCUGCUACUGGGCCCUGGGCCUCAUCAAGGGCUGGAGCUCAGUGCUUGGUAGGGGCUGUCUUAAUGUGGGGCUACAGAUUCACAAAUGUGGAUGAAUGGAUGAACACACAUCUCUUAUCUACGAACCAAAGGGACAUAAGGAGCCAGCAGGCCUGGGUCACCCUUUGCAAUGAAGGACAGGCACAAAGGCCUUCUGCAGACACGGUUAUGAGGGCAGCAAGGGAGCUGUGGGUGAAGCUCCCAGCCAGCUUCCCUCAUUACCUUUCUGCAGUGUAGCAUCUGGAAGA